rnacentral:rRNA from 1 species
UACGUAGGGUGCAAGCGUUAAUCGGAAUUACUGGGCGUAAAGCGUGCGCAGGCGGUUUUGUAAGACAGGCGUGAAAUCCCCGGGCUCAACCUGGGAAUGGCGCUUGUGACUGCAAGGCUGGAGUGCGGCAGAGGGGGAUGGAAUUCCGCGUGUAGCAGUGAAAUGCGUAGAUAUGCGGAGGAACACCGAUGGCGAAGGAAAUCCCCGGGGCCUGCACUGACGAUCAUGCACGAAAGCGUGGGGAGCAAACAGG